UGGGGAAUAUUGCACAAUGGGCGCAAGCCUGAUGCAGCCAUGCCGCGUGUGUGAAGAAGGCCUUCGGGUUGUAAAGCACUUUCAGCGGGGAGGAAGGCGGUGAGGUUAAUAACCUCAUCGAUUGACGUUACCCGCAGAAGAAGCACCGGCUAACUCCGUGCCAGCAGCCGCGGUAAUACGGAGGGUGCAAGCGUUAAUCGGAAUUACUGGGCGUAAAGCGCACGCAGGCGGUCUGUCAAGUCGGAUGUGAAAUCCCCGGGCUCAACCUGGGAACUGCAUUCGAAACUGGCAGGCUAGAGUCUCGUAGAGGGGGGUAGAAUUCCAGGUGUAGCGGUGAAAUGCGUAGAGAUCUGGAGGAAUACCGGUGGCGAAGGCGGCCCCCUGGACGAAGACUGACGCUCAGGUGCGAAAGCGUGGGGAGCAAACAGG
rnacentral:rRNA from 1 species